GCCGCCUUAGCUCAUUUGGUAGAGCGAUGCUUUCGUAAAGCAUAGGUGCCGGGUUCGAGUCCCGGAGGCGGCU
rnacentral:tRNA from 2 species